UACGUAGGCAGCGAGCGUUGUUCGGAGUUACUGGGCGUAAAGGGUGUGUAGGCGGUUGUUUAAGUUUGGUGUGAAAUCUCCCGGCUCAACUGGGAGGUGCGCCGAAUACUGAAUGACUUGGAGUGCGGGAGAGGAGAGUGGAAUUCCUGGUGUAGCGGUGAAAUGCGUAGAUAUCAGGAGGAACACCGGUGGUGUAGACGGCUCUCUGGACCGUAACUGACGCUGAGACACGAAAGCGUGGGGAGCAAACAAG
rnacentral:rRNA from 1 species